UAGGGAAUCUUCGGCAAUGGACGAAAGUCUAACCGAGCAACGCCGCGUGAGUGAAGAAGGUUUUCGGAUCGUAAAACUCUGUUGGUAGAGAAGAACGUUGGUGAGAGUGGAAAGCUCAUCAAGUGACGGUAACUACCCAGAAAGGGACGGCUAACUACGUGCUAG
rnacentral:rRNA from 1 species